rnacentral:rRNA from 1 species
UACGUAGGGGGCAAGCGUUGUCCGGAAUCAUUGGGCGUAAAGCGCGUGUAGGCGGUUCGGUAAGUCCGCUGUGAAAGUCGGGGGCUCAACCCUCGAAUGCCGGUGGAUACUGUCGGGCUAGAGUGCGGAAGAGGAGUGUGGAAUUCCUGGUGUAGCGGUGAAAUGCGCAGAUAUCAGGAGGAACACCAAUGGCGAAGGCAGCACUCUGGGACGUGACUGACGCUGAGACGCGAAAGCGUGGGGAGCAAACAGG